UACGUAGGUGGCAAGCGUUGUCCGGAUUUACUGGGCGUAAAGCGCACGUAGGCGGAUAUUUAAGUCAGGGGUGAAAUCCCAGAGCUCAACUCUGGAACUGCCUUUGAUACUGGGUAUCUUGAGUAUGGAAGAGGUAAGUGGAAUUCCGAGUGUAGAGGUGAAAUUCGUAGAUAUUCGGAGGAACACCAGUGGCGAAGGCGGCUUACUGGUCCAUUACUGACGCUGAGGUGCGAAAGCGUGGGGAGCAAACAGG
rnacentral:rRNA from 1 species